rnacentral:rRNA from 1 species
AUUGAAAAUCCUAACCCUUAUUAGUCACCGGACCCGCUACCGCCGCACCCUGUUCCAUCACCAUCACCAUGCUUGAACUACUACCACUGCAUCAUUGUUAUUUUUAUAUAUGUAUUUCUACAAAUUUAAUUAAUUUAUUUCUUCAAUGGAAUUAAUCAAAAUUAUUUUUAAAUGUGUGUGUAUUCUCUUAUUUUAAUUACAUUGCAAUUAUAUUUCGUUUCAUCUGAUAAAAUUUUAUUUACUUUAGAAUAUGUUAUUUUAAGAGUUUUAAUAAAUUUAAGAUAAUUAGCAUUAUUUAUUUUCAAUAUAUUUAUUUUAAUCAAAAUUUAAAAUAAUUUUUAUGUAUAUUUAUCUUUUGAACUUUUACAUAGUUAUUAGAGUUAUGAUUUUUUUUUCAUUUAAUAAAAAUUUAGUUAUUUUAGAUUGUGUUAUUUUAUGGGGUUAUAAUAAGAUUUAAGGUAAUUAGGAUUAUUUAGCUAGGUUAAAUGUUACUUUGUAUAAUUUAGUGAAGUUAUUAACUUAAAUUUUUUUAAGGAUUUUUUUUGGUGUAGUUUUAAUUAUGGGUUGUUCAUGCAGUUACAUUUAAUUUUGUGGGUUUAUUUGUAUAGUACUCAAAUUAGUUCUCCAUCUAUAUUGGACUUAAUUUUUUUACGAUAGAGUUUUAGGAUGAAAGUGAGAGAAUGUUGUUUAAUGGUACCUUCUUAAAAUCUUUGUUUGCCAAAAAAUUAUGGAAUAAUAAGGGAAUGCAUUCUAGAAUUUGAUAUUUGUUUGAAUGCAUCUUUGUUUUAUUUAUGCUUGCAAUUAUUUACUUUUUGAAAAUUGAGAUUUUUAAAUUUGGUAGAGUACUCUGAAUUAAGAAAAUAUUCUACUAAUUUUUGAUUAACAUUGUUUAAAGACAUUUGUUGAAUUAUGUAUAUGUUGUUGAAUUUGUUUGGUUUGUAAAAAUUGAAAGUUAUAUUUGAUGGAUGUGUCUAAUUAUAGCUAAAAUUCUACCAAUUUUUUUUAAAUUAAUAAUUUAAGUGGUAUUCUUGGUUGAAUUUUAGGUUGUUUGUGAUAAAAUAAUUUUGAGUCAUCAUUUUAUGAAUGUAUGAUAAGGAUAACAGUAAACGGGGGGAUUAAAACCUGAGUUCUUUAAGGGUGUUGAUUAAUUUGUUGCAUAUGUGUUUAACAUAAAACCUUUUAAGUCUCAAAGGGUAUCUAGAUGUCCAUGCUAUAAGUGUCAACUAACUAAAUAGUUAGGAGCUUCAAAUAUAAUUCUUCACUUUUAUCGUAACGAGUUCAAGGAUGGGUAUUGGGUGUAAACUGAAAACGGAGAAGUUGAUAAGAAGAAAAUCAAUUGGUCUGCACUGAUUGCCAAUAAGUUUGAGGGCCAGUCAAGGAGGGUGAACUUGGUUAGAGAAGUGAACAUAGAAGAGGUAGAAACAAAGAGAUUUUAUGAUUUGUUAGAAUCUACUGCACAACCACUGUUUGAGGGGUAUAUUCACUCAAAAUUGUGUGUCUGUAUUAGAAUGAUGAGUAUUAAGUCUACGUCAGAUCACACCAAGCAUUGUUGUCAAACUUGUGAGUUAACUUGUAAACUCGUAGGUAGUGGAAUCAAGUUAACUCGAACAUAAACUCGGUCUUAACUAAACUAAACCUAAACUCGCAAGCCGAGGUGCGAGUUAACGAGUUUGAAUUGUUGCCCAGUUUUGGCUAAAAAUGACAUCAUUUAGCCCCAAAAAAGAGAGAAAAGCGUUUUUUCAUUAGGGUUUUUGUCCAGAACACUCACCCCUUUCCCCUCUCACUCUCUGCACUGUUUCUAAGUCUCUUUAGUCACAAAUCUCAUGCUCUCUAUGUUCUUCUGUCGUCUGCCGUUCACCCUCGUGCUACUGUCUGACAUGCUAUUUUUGUUCACCUGCUUCUCCUAGCAUUGUUCUACACGCCUGCCCAGUGCUGGAAGGUCAAGGAAGUUGGUGACCUGAUGAUAGGGGAGCCGGCGACCAAAGCCCCGGUGAACGGCGGCCAUAACUAUAACGGUCCUAAGGUAGCGAAAUUCUUUGUCGGGUAAGUUCCGACCCGCACGAAAGGCGUAACGAUCUGGGCACUGUCUCGGAGAGAGGCUCGGUGAAAUAGACAUGUCUGUGAAGAUGCGGACUACCUCCACCUGGACAGAAAGACCCUAUGAAGCUUCACUGUUCCCUGGGAUUGGCUUUGGGCUUUUCCUGCGCAGCUUAGGUGGAAGGCGAAAAAGGCCUCCUUCUAGGGGGGCCCGAGCCAUCAAUGAGAUACCACUAUGGAAGAGCUAGAAUUCUAACCUUGUGCCAGGACCUACGGGCCAAGGGACAGUCUCAGGUAGAUAGUUUCUAUGGGGUGUAUGCCUCCCAAAAGGUAACGGAGGCGUGCAAAGGUUUCCUCGGGCCAGACGGAGAUUGGCCCUCAAGUGCAAAGGCAUAAGGGAGCUUGACUGCAAGACCCACCCGUUGAGAGCAGGGAUGAAAGUCGGCCUUAGUGAUCCGACGGUGCCGAGUGGAAGGGUCGUCGCUCAACGGAUAAAAGUUACUCUAGGGAUAAUAGGCUGAUCUUCCCCAAGAGUUAGUUCAUAUCGACAGGAUGGUUUGGCACCUCGAUGUCUGCUCUUCACCACCUGGGGCUGUAGUAUGUUCCAAGGAUUGGGCUGUUCGUCCAUUAAAGCGGUACAUGAGCUGGGUUCAGAACGUCGUGAGACAGUUCGGUCCAUAUCCGGUGUGGGCAUUUUCCCUCUCUUUUUCUUUUGCUCUAUGUUGUGUUUUGCCUCACGCAUUUGCUUCCUGCUGUUCUCACUUCUCCGCUAUUCUCCUACUUUUCCUACCUCUGCUGUGUUCGCACCUUUAUCUCUGCCUCUUUGUAUCUCUAAUUUGCUUUGCUUCACGCCUCCAAGCUCUGCUCUGCCCAACUGCCUCCAUUCUCUAUCGCAACUGACUGCUUGACCAUCAUUUUCUUUAACUGUGUUGUUCGGUCGCUAUAUUCAAGCUUCUAAUUUGUAGCAGCUGCCACUAGCUAGUAAGUAUACAAGUUGGUGAAGCAUUAGAAAGUUUGUUACAGGUAUUUUUUUUUAAAAUAUUAUUACUUUUA